rnacentral:lncRNA from 1 species
GAUUAUUGAGCUAAGGACUGGCUGUAGCCUAGACAGUCUUCCAGCCUGGACGGAGGCCUCCUGAGCAACUCAGAGUGAAUGUGUUUUCAGAGUUAAGUACCAGUUAUUCCUAGGUCAUCGGGAGGUCUCUACUUUGAAAGUGGGGAAACUGAGUCUCAAGCUCGGGGACAUCAAUAGUCAGGAAGCUCAGAUCCACAGAGAGAAGCUGGCUUCUGCCCGAGUUCCAUACUCCUCUAGGCUUCUCCAUCGGCCACAUGGGCACAAGGAUAGCUUCCCCAGGGAAGGUUACAGAUGUGUGUCUCUCAGCCAAGGACAGAGCCCAGGACAACAGACAGACAAACAGAUGGAUGGACGGGAGGCUCCUGCUCCUUGUUACAGUCAAGUGCAUCAUCUCUGUCUGAGCCUGCCACCUUCAGUAUUUGGUAGCCACCCUUCAGAUGAUGGAAAUUCCAUUCUGACCUCUUUCCAGGCACGUUCAGAAUCUCUGGGGUUGAGACUUCUCCAAAAACUUCUGCAGGAUCCUGGUGGGAAGCUCUCUCCUCUCUCUGCGUCAGCUUCCUGGGGGACCCACCGUUCCUUCCAGCCCAGAGCGGCAUCACUGUCUACACAUCACAAGCCUGGGUUGGUGUCGAGUGUCUCUGACUUUGGAGUCUCGAGCCCCGGACUUAGUUUUAUGGGCUUUGGCUGUCGAGGGCAGCCGACGACUCCAUCCAUCAACCGGGGACUGCUCUAACACUAAUGGUGAAUUUAUAGAAGUGGUUAAACAAAGUGUUGACAAUGCGGACGGUGUGUUUCUGAUUAACACACGAUUCCGAGGGAAGCUGCCAUCCGAGGGGGGAGUCAGUAAAACACAGCAGUGAAUUCCCAGGCCCCGGAGACUCCGACUAGACUGGAUCACCAGAGGUUGCGCAAGGAGAUCAUGAGUCUGAGGCUGCUGUGGGGACUCUUGUACAAACCCAGAGCCACCCCUCCCUUCCCCCCCUUUUUUUUUCUUGAGAGAUUACAUCUGAGUUCUCUCUUCCAGCCUUAAGCGUUUCCAUUAGAAAAUUCUGUCAGCUCCCAUGGUGUUCUCUCCAAACCCUGUCCUCAGACCAACCCCUCUCCCAAGGUGACCUGAAACACGGUGGAGCACUUAGCUGCUUUCUGGGUGCUGAUGGCUUUCUUAAAUCAUCUCUAGUCAUUAAGAGAACGGGUGGGGCCGUUUGCAUUUUAAAAAGACUUCUCUUCUAAAUAGCGUGGCUCUCACUGGAAGUUGCAGUAUGAUCCAGAGUGCUCUCUUGUUUCCGUGUUCCCUCCUACCCCAGUUCCCUCUUACCCCAGUGCCCCUUACCCCAGUGCCCCACAUGAUCACAUUCAAUUUCAUGGCCAUAGCAAAUUGUCAGAGCAUAGUAAAUUGCCUUUCUGACAUUCUGGGCCCCUUCAGCAGGAUUUUACUUUAUUUUCUUAAACAGCCUAUAACUUUUAUCACACAUUAAGAUUAGCAACUGCCACUAUCUGUGACGGGAGAGUCUCCCAUGAUUACACCAGAAGUCCCUGGGUUCAUCUCCCCCAUUCCUGGUGAUAAUUGCUAUGUCACGAGGUCGAACAAUGUGUAAGCUUCAAGACUGGCCUCCUAGUACUAGCUUUUCAGACAAAGCCUUGGCAUGGAACCCAGGUUGGCCUCAAAUUCCUGAUUUCCUGCUUCAGCCUCCAGAACAUUGAGGUCACAGGUGUGUGCCACCACACCAGGCUCCAUCUGCCUUCGUUUCUUCCACAUCAUCCCUUUUGGUCAGUGAAUAGUAUUCCAGUGUAUGGAUAUAACACAGUCUGUCCAUUCACUGGUUGAAGAACACCAGCUGUAGACUACACUGGCUGCUGAGAUUCAUACGCAUGAGGUGCUAAUGCAUAUUCAUGGACAGGAUUAUGUGAGCAUCUACAGUUAACAGACAAGGUUAUCAGAGACAAAAGAGAUGAUGGACAGGCCAUCAAGUAAUGUGGACACAGCUGAACUGAGAACUGAACACGGAUACAAACUCUAGAGUCCAUGUCUGCCCAAUUAUGUCUAUGAUGGAAAAUCUUGUAGCUAAAAAAAAAAAAAAAAAACAUUAAAACCUCUUGAGCCUGA